ACAGCAGCUGACAUGUCUGUAGUAUCCUGCCUGCAGCCCAUCAUAUACCAUCAUGUGUGGCUAUCACACGCUGUCUCCCAGCUCUCUGUAUGUUGUGACUGACACUCUGUCUCUCCAUUCUCUCUCUCUCUCUCUCUCUCUCUGUGUUGAGCUCCUACCUGCUUCUCUCCCCACCUCUCAACUAACUGUUGUGACCUAUUUCUCCACAAGUUGGUGAAGGUGAUACUGAUAUGUGUAUAUAUACGUUCAACUCGGCAUCAUUGAAAAUCAGCUUGUCUGGUUAUUGCUUAAUGAUUAAGUAUAAAUGCAGAAAAUAUGAAGGCAGUUUUUUAGUUCAAACUUGCAGGUGUUAUUUCUGUCAGAACACUCAAUAUUACUAUCCCAUCAUAUAUACUGACAAUAGGAAGUCUAGUGGGUGAAGUGUUCACUCAUCAUGUACAAUGUGUGAAGCCCACUUCAUAUUGGAAUGUGCGCUAUCACUUUAGAGCAGUGUAGGAAAGGAAGCUGUAUAGUUAGAGAAGCAUGGAAUGGGUGCUGUCUGUUUAGUACAGUAUGAGAAAGGGUGCUGUCUCUUUAGUAUGGUAUAAGAAAGGGUGCUGUCAGUUUAAAGCAGUAUGGAACAGGUGCUGUCAGUCUAAAGCAGUAUGGAACAGGUGCUGUCAGUCUAAAGCAGUAUGGAACAGGUGAUGUCAGUCUAAAGCAGAAUGGAACAGGUGCUGUCAAUCUAAAGCAGUAUGGAACAGGUGCUGUCAGUCUAAAGCAGUAUGGAACAGGUGAUGUCAGUCUAAAGCAGUAUGGAACAGGUGCUGUCAGUCUAAAACAGUAUGGAACAGGUGCUGUCAGUCUAAAACAGUAUGGAAUAGGUGCUGUCAGUCUAAAGCAGUAUGGAACAGGUGCUGUCAGUUUAAAGCAGUAUGGAACAGGUGCUGUCAGUCUAAAGCAGUAUGGAAUAGGUGCUGUCAGUCUAAAGCAGUAUGGAACAGGUGUUGUCAGUCUUAGCAGUAUGGAAUAGGUGCUGUCAGUCUAAAGCAGUAU
rnacentral:lncRNA from 1 species